AUUGAACGCUGGCGGCAGGCCUAACACAUGCAAGUCGAACGAGUGGCGGACGGGUGAGUAAUGUCUGGGAAACUGCCUGACGGAGGGGGAUAACUACUGGAUACGGUAGCUAAUAACGCAUACCAUCGGAUGUGCCCAGAUGGGAUUAGCUAGUAGGUGGGGUAACGGCUCACCUAGGCGACGAUCCCUAGGUGGUCUGAGAGGAUGACAAUCCACACUUGAACUGAGACACGGUCCAGACUCCUACGGGAGGCAGCAGUGGGGAAUAUUGCAAAAUGGGCGCAAGCCUGAUGCAGCCAUGCCGCGUGUAUGAAGAAGGCCGUCGGGUUGUAAAGUACUUGCAGCGGGGAGGCGUUACUCGCAGAAGAAGCACCGGCUAACUCCGUGCCAGCAGCCGCGGUAAUUC
rnacentral:rRNA from 1 species